GUAGGGAAUAUUGGGCAAUGGAGGCAACUCUGACCCAGCCAUGCCGCGUGCAGGAUGACGGCCCUCUGGGUUGUAAACUGCUUUUAUACGGGAAGAAAAAAUACUACGUGUAGUAUACUGACGGUACCGUAAGAAUAAGGAUCGGCUAACUCCGUGCCAGCAGCCGCGGUAAUACGGAGGAUCCAAGCGUUGUCCGGAUUUAGUGGGUUUAAAGGGUGCGUAGGCGGAUCUUUAAGUCAGUGGUGAAAGCCUGCAGCUUAACUGUAGAAUUGCCAUUGAAACUGAAGAUCUUGAAUGUGGUUAAAGUAGGCGGAAUGUAUCAUGUAGCGGUGAAAUGCUUAGAUAUGAUACAGAACACCGAUAGCGAAGGCAGCUUGCUGAACCAUUAUUGACGCUGAGGCACGAAAGCGUGGGGAGCGAACAGGAUUAGAUACCCGGGUAGUCC
rnacentral:rRNA from 1 species